rnacentral:rRNA from 1 species
AGCGAACGCUGGCGGCAGGCCUAAUACAUGCAAGUCGAACGGUCUCUUCGGAGGCAGUGGCGGACGGGUGAGUAACGCGUGGGAAUAUGCCCUUUGGUACGGAACAACUGAGGGAAACUUCAGCUAAUACCGUAUGUGCCCUUCGGGGGAAAGAUUUAUCGCCAUUGGAGUAGCCCGCGUUGGAUUAGGUAGUUGGUGGGGUAAAGGCCUACCAAGCCUACGAUCCAUAGCUGGUCUGAGAGGAUGAUCAGCCACACUGGGACUGAGACACGGCCCAGACUCCUACGGGAGGCAGCAGUAGGGAAUCUUGCGCAAUGGGCGAAAGCCUGACGCAGCCAUGCCGCGUGAAUGAUGAAGGUCUUAGGAUUGUAAAAUUCUUUCACCGGGGACGAUAAUGACGGUACCCGGAGAAGAAGCCCCCGGCUAACUUCGUGCCAGCAGCCGCGGUAAU